rnacentral:misc_RNA from 1 species
UCGUACAAAAUGUGAGGGGCAUGCAAGGGCUGUCGCUGACUUCAAAGUUGUGCACGCCCGGGUGUGUCCCCUCACAUAAUAAUCCACCUCACCCUUUGUGCAUCACCGCGUGGGCACCCUUCGGGAUCAUCUCGGAGGGGGCUCGCGUUUUCACACAAACCCCCCCUUUUAAAAGUGUAGAAUGACCUCAUAUAUGCGCUAACCCGCAAUCAAUA